UCCACGCUUCCGGGCGACCUCGUCUGUCGCAUCGCCGACUCCUUCCUCGACGACAACGACCUCGACUGGUACAUGGAGUACCGCGCUGUCUGCACCGGCUGGCGCGCCGCCACCGACGAUCCAAGGAGCGACGCCUCUGACCCCCGCUUUCGCCCGAGCCGGUGGAUCGUCCUCGACGAGGUCCUCCAGAGCCAAGGGAAUCUGCUCCUGUUGAACACCGACACUCGCCUCCUCCGCAAGAAUCUUCCGCAGCUCGGCGAUUACCACGUCGUGGCUACCACUCUCGACGGCUACUUCGUUCUGGCGGAAAAGACCGCUCCUCACGCCGCUCGCGUCCUCAACCCUCUUACUGGCGUCGUGAUCAGUUUCGCGGCGCCCGUGCGCCCCGCUGUGGGAAUCGCUGAUGUCCUUUUCCCCCACGGCUCUUCGCUCCGGCUCGCCGUGUUCUCCGACUCAUCUCGCAAGGCUUACUCGGCGGCUCCUCACAGUGAAAGUUUCGUCAGAUACAACCAUAAGCAGCCAGCAGCUUACGAUUUCUUCCGGAAGGCGGUCGUGGGUGGUGUUUACGCAAGCUUUUCUGAAGCAUCCGUAGUUCGUGAGAUGAUUAUUUGCUUAGGCAAAUUUCUUCCGGUUAAUCUUUCUCCUGUGACCGAGGUUUUCUCCCUUGAUCUUCCUGGACAUGGGUAUGGCAUGCGGUGUUUCCUAGUGGAUUUGCAUGGGCAUAUAUGUAUGGUCAUGAAGAUCUUGAAUCCACAGGGAGUCUUGGCUCUCUUUGAUUUCCAAUUUGACACCGAGACAGGUAACCUCUGGCGUCUGAAGACCACAGACAGAUAUGCAAUCUUCAUCGGUGACCACAGGUGCUUCUCCGUCGAUGUUGAUGAGUUCCCAGGAACUAAGCCAGACUGUGUGUACUACACUCAACAUUUGGGUUCAUCCGCUCAUAUCUGCAAGUGCAACAUCAAGGAUAACAAAAUAGAGAGGAUCUCUGAAGCUGCAGAUUUCGUGAAGCAGGACAAGAAGUUUGUCCUGGUCGCUGACCGUCCUUACACCAUGAUCCACCUUCUCGCCAGCUACACCAUCAACAACCCGGAUUCUCAACUGGCCUUGCAACAGAUUCCAUAA
rnacentral:rRNA from 1 species